AUUGAACGCUGGCGGCAGGCUUAACACAUGCAAGUCGAGCGAGCGGCGGAGGGGAGAGUAAUGUCUGGGAAACUGCCUGAUGGAGGGGGAUAACUACUGGAACCGGUAGCUAAAACCGCAUACCAUCAGAUGUGCCCAGCUGGGAUUAGCUAGUAGGGGGGGUAAUGGCUCACCUAGGCGACGAUCUCUAGCUGGUCUGAGAGGAUGACCAGCCACACUGGAACUGAGACACGGUCCAGACUCCUGCGGGAGGCAGCAGUGGGGAAUAUUGCACAAGAGGCGCGAGCCUGAUACAGCCAUGCCGCGUGUGUGAAGAAGGCCUUCGGUUUGUAAAGCACUUUCAGCGGGGAGGCGUUACUCGCAGAAGAAGCACCGGCUAACUCCGUGCCAGCAGCCGCGGUAAUAC
rnacentral:rRNA from 1 species